ensembl:lncRNA
ACCAUGUAAAUGGACAUUCAGUGCCAUGGUAUACAUCAGAAUACCAAACCAUAUACUAUCACAAGUAACGUGGUACCUACUGCCACAGUGCUUUUUUUGUUGUUUUAAAUGACUGUGCAAUGACAAUUUACAGUCUAGUUUUACCGUGUUCAUGAUCAUUUACAUAUCUGAAGUGAAAGAAGGACUAGAUAUUGAACUGAAAGUAAGCACUCUAAGAAGUCAUCGUGUAUUUUUAAGGUCACAUUUGUACCAUUUUACACGGCCUCCACGUCUACUUUUAGUUAGGCAACUUUGGUUUCCAGUAAAACCUGUUACUGGUGGCCGUAGAGAGACGGAAGUGGUAGCAAUGAAACUUGCAUUCAUAAAAAAGUCUCGCUGUGUCUAUUGUUCUGUUUCAGAUGGGUUUGAAUGAAAUGACUGUACGUGAUCUGACACCGUUUGACAGUAAGUUUGGUGGUUCAGGGGAUCCAGAUCACGCCUCAUAAUAUUUCAAAGUUUGAUGCAAUUCAUCUUUGGCUCUGAGGUUGAGUGUGCAAGAGGGAAGCCUCUCAGCCACCGGGCCUGAUUUCUGUCUGAUAAGUCAGAUUAGAAAUAGGAACCAAAAAAGGUUUGAUGAAUGCACGGAUCUGUAAAACUGUGCACAUCAGAUCAGAUAUCGGACGAUUAGAAAGCUAGACAUGUGGCCCAUUUGCUGUUGCUGAGGUAUGAGCAGGAUGAACUUUGAGGGCCUCAUUUUUCUCCUAGGUUUCACUGCCACCUAGUGGACAUUUCUCUCAACUAACUUGAACUAUUUUCAUAGUAUUUAUUGUCAAAGCAGUGUGAUUAUUUCCGAUAUUUAAAAACAGUCCACCUAUCAUGUUUAUAAAAACCCAAGCAUUUUGAUCUACUACUGUAUCUAAUAGUGAAAUGUCACAGAAAUAUUAUUUUAGGGCAUAGAAGUAGGUUAUAGACAUUGUGUUCAGUUUGAAUAAAGGCAUUGAAAUACUGUAAUUAUGUACAGUGUAGCCUAAUAUAAAUAUAGACAAAUAUAUUUUAUAUAGCCUAUUUGACGAUUUUAGCUUGUUGAGAAACUAUAAACAUCUAUGUAUAAAUAAAUGUAUACAUAAAACGGUAUGUAUAGCUACUGUUUAAUGUUAAUGGUUUAUCAGUGAAUAAUCAGCAGUGAGGAUGUUUUAUUUAAGAAAAGUAACCGUAAUACAAUUGACUGUUAUUCCUUGUGAGGUGUAAAAUACUGUAAUUUAUUUUCUUUUUUUUUUUUUUUUACUUUGCAAUUUAACGAUGACGUAUGCGAACUGAGACGCAGCUGUAGUUUCUAAUUUAUUUCUAAUUUAUUUUGUCCACUAGCUGGCAGUAUUUACAACAUUCCGGACACACGGCCCUUGGUCACUGCGAGGAGAGACUGUCGUCCAGCAGAAUGGCGUCAGACGUGGGCCGUAGCACUUGAGGUCAGCCACUCACUCAGCGCACAGUGUUUAUUCUGUCUUCAGGUCCUCCUGGGAAGUUCCUACUUAAGAGUUCGGAAGUCAUAAUUAUGAUGUGAAGUGAUUUGGCUUGAAAUAAUACGGAUGAGUUGAGCAUAUUUAUGUGUCUUUAACCCAGCUAACAGGGAAUGUUCACAGAACUUGGUUAGAAUGUUAAUACAGUGUUCAUUCAAAGUUCGUGAGAUACACACUUAUCUAAUGUGUGUCAUUAUUUUGGAAUGUUCAGAGAACAUUCGAAAGUAACGUUCCCAUAAUGUUUGCAAAAUUAUUAAAUUAAAUGUUUGCAUAACCAAAAAAAAGAAGGAAAAAAAAAACGUUUUUGAAACAUUUAGAUAUUUAGAAUGUUCACACUUUUGUCAGAAGUAAUAUUUUCAUAACUUAAUGCAUAGUAACGUUAAACAUUCUUAGAACAUUUUUGUUAGCUGGGAACCUUACAAUGCAUUUUUAGUCUAAAUGAAGAAGAAAUGAUGCACAUUAGGUGCAAUUUAAGAUGAAUUGUAAAAAAUAUAUAUUUUAUCAUUCUUGUGAAACCGCAUAUAAUGACUGAAAAUGUAUUUCACAAAAUGUUUACAAAUUAGUUUUACAUUAUAUCAACAUUCACACCCUUGGUUCCACAAGUAUUUUUCUCAUUCAUUAUCUGUUUAUAAUUCUAUUAUCCAUUAUCUAUUCUAAUCUUGAAAACAUUUGAGUUUUAAACUAUGAAGACCAACCAGCUGGAAGAUGAAUCACAAACUUUACAUCUUGCUCCUAAAAUGUAUGGAAAUCUGAGAAAAAGGCAAAAGUACAAGACGGUGUAGUUUAAUUUUUUUUGGAAAUAAUACUCUAUAAAAUAUUAUGUAGAACUCUUGAUGUGCAGUCAUUCCUUGUUUAUUAGAUAUUGUUUGUAUUAAAUAUAAUACAAAUAUCUUUGAAUAGUUAAUUUGAAUUUAUUUAAUUUUAAUUAGAUUUUUUUUUUUAUUAUUAUUAAUUGAAUUUGUUAUUUUAGAUUAAUUUACAUUUGUUUUGAUGGCAUCAGUCUCUUUCCUUAUCUCUUUUUGUAAAUUUGCUUUGAGAAAGUGGACUCUCAUUCCAUGAAAUCUGCCUUGAAAUCAUUAACUUACACAGAAGAACGUCUCAUGUAGAUGAUUAUAUGUUAUACGGAGCUCAUGUGGAUCUGUCUUGAAAGGUUUAUACAAUAAUGCUAUAACUCUAUUGAGAAGAUGAAUGGGAUUGUACUUCUGGAACCCAACUGUUGUGCUCUAUAGCCAUUAGCUUCUAAUGUGAUUUUAUCAUCGACACGAACCCUACACAAAAAGUCUCUUUAAUAAUUAACCAUCAUGGUGUAUAUGACUCUGACAUGACUUGAAGGCAGCAUGCUUUAUUUAUUUUCAAGCUAAGCUACUGUGGACUUGUAAAGACAAACAACUGAGCAGCACUGCCAAACUAGCUGAAGGAUUGUUAAAGAGCCGAUGCACAGCCAUGUAACAUGAACACUUAUCACUCACAAUAAAUGUUUCCCUGAAAAACACGAUCAGUUUGACAUUUGUCUUUUUCUGUGGUCAGACUUGUGACUGUUUAUUUUAACGGUGUGUUUGUGUUGAGCUGUCCUCCUACGAUCUGUCUGCCAGUCGCGAACAGAGUGGUUGAGUUGUGGUUUACAUGCAUUCCCAGAGUCUGUGUGUGAGGACACGUGUAACACGCUAAAAUGUCACUUACAUAUUAGAUACAAGCUUCAUGUUGUUGACAUAAAGACAACAUUUUGUGCCAUUGCAUUUCUGCUUGCGUUGAUUUUUGAAGGAUGCAUUUCCUGAGUGUGACUAAUAAUAGAUUUGUUUUUGUUUUUGUUAUUCGACUAGCAUGUUACCAGGAAGAAUAUGUUGUAUUAACCAGUAAAUCAUGGUGCAAUUAAUUCUAUCUAACUGUGCAGUGGCAUUUUUAGAUGUACAAAAAAAAAAAAAAAGGAAAAAAGGAAAAACAAAGUUUUGAUUUUUACAUAGAUCUUGAUUUAAGAUUGCAAUUUUUCAUAUCUGCAAAUUUCAUUUUGCAGAUGUGUUUGUGCAUGCAUUUUGCACAAUUUGGAUUAUGCAGAUGUCAAAUUUAGUCCACUCCCACUAUUAACACUAAUGGGUGUCGGUUAAAUCAAGCGGUUGAAUCAUGAGUUUGUCAUAAAUGCUAUAAGUCAGAUACAGGCUUAUGGGUUAAGGUCACCAAAAUAUUUGUGACUUUAGAGUGAGUCAUUGUUUGUUAAAAUAAGAACAGUCAUUGGUUCUUAAUCGGUGGUUAGUAAGGUGAUUAAAAAUAUUAUAUGUGUAGGUGAAGACACAAGUGUUUUACAGAAAGUGGGUUGAGGUUCAGAAUAAUAUUUGAAAAGUGGAUUUUUCAAAGAAUGUUUUCAAAACAAAAAACUUAUUUCUUUCCUUUGAAGGUUUUAGAUACUGUCUACUCAUUUAUAAGUUUUUUUUUUUUUUUGGAUUUUCAUUAAUUUUCUCUGCUUUGUGUUUCAGGCUUAAAUUA